UCUAUUCAUUUUGUUUCUGUUGUAUUUUGCUCUGCAAAAAUUUAUAAGUUUAAUUUGGUCCCAUUUGUUGAUUUUUGCUCUAAUUUC